rnacentral:rRNA from 1 species
AAUACAAGGCAGACGGCUCAGUAACGCGUAGUCAACCUACCCUAUGGACGGGAAUAACCUCGGGAAACUGAGUAUAAUGCCCGAUAGAACAUUAUGCCUGGAAUGGUUUAUGUUCCAAAUGAUUUAUCGCCAUAGGAUGGGACUGCGGCCUAUCAGUUUGUUGGUGAGGUAAUGGCCCACAAAGACUAUUACAGGUACGGGCUCUGAGAGGAGUGGCCCGGAGAUGGGUACUGAGACACGGACCCAGGCCCUAUGGGGCGCAGCAGGCGAGGAAACUUUGCAAUGUGC